GUGCCUUUUGGUUCGGAAUAGCUCCUGGAAACGGGUGGUAAUGCCGAAUGUGCCCUUUGGGGGAAAGAUUUAUCGCCAUUAGAGCGGCCCGCGUCUGAUUAGCUAGUUGGUGAGGUAAAGGCUCACCAAGGCUACGAUCAGUAGCUGGUCUGAGAGGAUGACCAGCCACAUUGGGACUGAGACACGGCCCAAACUCCUACGGGAGGCAGCAGUGGGGAAUCUUGCGCAAUGGGCGAAAGCCUGACGCAGCCAUGCCGCGUGUAUGAUGAAGGUCUUAGGAUUGUAAAAUACUUUCACCGGUGAAGAUAAUGACUGUAGCCGGAGAAGAAGCCCCGGCUAACUUCGUGCCAGCAGCCGCGGUAAUACGAAGGGGGCUAGCGUUGCUCGGAAUUACUGGGCGUAAAGGGAGCGUAGGCGGACAUUUAAGUCAGGGGUGAAAUCCCAGAGCUCAACUCUGGAACUGCCUUUGAUACUGGGUGUCUUGAGUGUGAGAGAGGUAUGUGGAACUCCGAGUGUAGAGGUGAAAUUCGUAGAUAUUCGGAAGAACACCAGUGGCGAAGGCGACAUACUGGCUCAUUACUGACGCUGAGGCUCGAAAGCGUGGGGAGCAAACAGGAUUAGAUACCCUGGUAGUCCACGCCGUAAACGAUGAUUGCUAGUUGUCGGGAUGUUUACAUCUCGGUGACGCAGCUAACGCAUUAAGCAAUCCGCCUGGGGAGUACGGUCGCAAGAUUAAA
rnacentral:rRNA from 1 species